rnacentral:sRNA from 1 species
GGGGGUGAAGAGGGCUCGACUUAAGGCACGUCGGGUAAAGGUAGCAUGUCGCGGAUGCAGGGUUGGCCGCGUCAACAAUCCUUGCAAAAACAAACGCAAACACACCCGUGUUUAGCCGUGCACCAAUGUUCGCAUUGAUGCCGGCGGGCGUACCAGUCUUCGGGCUUAAUUAAGUCCGAAGCCUCAACCCAAUCUGCCUAAGGACUGGGAUUGAGCGGUUAAUUUAGGCUGGCCCCAAUAGAUUUGCCUUUGGGAUUGGGGCGAGAUUUAAAAGGCUGCAAUCCUGUCAAUUCUGUUUAUCGAAGUGGCAGGAAUUAAGUUUAAAAGAUAAACUAAGCAUGUAGCGACUUUUACCGGACUACUUAAGGACGGCGGUUCGAUUCCGCCCACCUCCACCA